rnacentral:rRNA from 1 species
AGUGAACGCUGGCGGUAGGCCUAACACAUGCAAGUCGAACGGCAGCACAGUAAGAGCUUGCUCUUACGGGUGGCGAGUGGCGGACGGGUGAGGAAUACAUCGGAAUCUACUUUUUCGUGGGGGAUAACGUAGGGAAACUUACGCUAAUACCGCAUACGACCUACGGGUGAAAGCAGGGGAUCUUCGGACCUUGCGCGAUUGAAUGAGCCGAUGUCGGAUUAGCUAGUUGGCGGGGUAAAGGCCCACCAAGGCGACGAUCCGUAGCUGGUCUGAGAGGAUGAUCAGCCACACUGGAACUGAGACACGGUCCAGACUCCUACGGGAGGCAGCAGUGGGGAAUAUUGGACAAUGGUCGCAAGCCUGAUCCAGCCAUACCGCGUGGGUGAAGAAGGCCUUCGGGUUGUAAAGCCCUUUUGUUGGUAAAGAAAAGCAGCAGGUUAAUACCCCGCUGUUCUGACGGUACCCAAAGAAUAAGCACCGGCUAACUUCGUG